UACGAAGGUGGCAAGCGUUACUCGGAUUUACUAGGCGUAAAGGGCAGGUAGGUGGUCUGAUAAGUCUGCUGUGUAAGCUCCCGGCUUAACUGGGAGAGGUCAACGGAAACUAUCAGGCUUGAGUAUGGGAGAGGGUACUGGAAUUCCUGGUGUAGCGGUGAAAUGCGCAGAUAUCAGGAGGAACACCAAUGGCGAAAGCAGGUACCUGGACCAUUACUGACACUCAGCUGCGAAAGCUAGGGGAGCAAACAGG
rnacentral:rRNA from 1 species